AACGAACGCUGGCGGCAUGCCUAACACAUGCAAGUCGAACGAAGCCUUCGGGCUUAGUGGCGCACGGGUGCGUAACACGUGGGAAUCUGCCCUUCGGUUCGGAAUAACAGUUAGAAAUGACUGCUAAUACCGGAUGAUGACGUAAGUCCAAAGAUUUAUCGCCGAAGGAUGAGCCCGCGUAGGAUUAGGUAGUUGGUAGGGUAAUGGCCUACCAAGCCGACGAUCCUUAGCUGGUCUGAGAGGAUGAUCAGCCACACUGGGACUGAGACACGGCCCAGACUCCUACGGGAGGCAGCAGUGGGGAAUAUUGGACAAUGGGCGAAAGCCUGAUCCAGCAAUGCCGCGUGAGUGAUGAAGGCCUUAGGGUUGUAAAGCUCUUUUACCAGGGAUGAUAAUGACAGUACCUGGAGAAUAAGCUCCGGCUAACUCCGUGCCAGCAGCCGCGGUAAUGUCUGUACU
rnacentral:rRNA from 1 species